rnacentral:rRNA from 1 species
UACGUAGGUGACCAGCGUUGUCCGGAUUUACUGGGCGUAAAGAGCUCGUAGGCGGUUUGUCGCGUCGACUGUGAAAUCCCGCGGCUCAACUGCGGGUCUGCAGUCGAUACGGGCAGGCUAGAGUUCGGUAGGGGAGACUGGAAUUCCUGGUGUAGCGGUGAAAUGCGCAGAUAUCAGGAGGAACACCGGUGGCGAAGGCGGGUCUCUGGGCCGAUACUGACGCUGAGGAGCGAAAGCGUGGGGAGCGAACAGG